GGUCCUGUAGUGUAGCGGUUAUCACAUGGGAUUCUGAUCUCUCGAAUAUAAUCCGAUUUUCCCAUGACCCAGGUUCGAUUCCUGGUAGGACCU